rnacentral:rRNA from 1 species
UAAUACCGGAUAAUAUCGCGAGAUCAAAGAUUUAUCGCCCAGGGAUGAGCCCGCGUAGGAUUAGCUAGUUGGUACCGGUAAUGGCGUACCAAGGCGACGAUCCUUAGCUGGUCUGAGAGGAUGAUCAGCCACACUGGGACUGAGACACGGUCCAGACUCAUACGGGAGGCAGCAGUGGGGAAUAUUGGACAAUGGGCGCAAGCCUGAUCCAGCAAUGCCGCGUGAGUGAUGAAGGCCUUAGGGUUGUAAAGCUCUUUUACCAGGGAUGAUAAUGACAGUACCUGGAGAAUAAGCUCCGGCUAACUCCGUGCCAGCAGCCGCGGUAAUACGGAGGGAGCUAGCGUUGUUCGGAAUUAUUGGGCGUAAAGGGCGCGUAGGCGGUAUGGUAAGUCACCUGUGAAACCCCUGGGCUUAACUCAGAGCCUGCAGGCGAAAAUGCCAUGCUGGAGGGUGGGAGAGGUGCGUGGAAUUCCCCGGUGUAGCGGUGAAAU